AAGGCGCUCCCCAAUAAGAAUAACAAUGUAAGAGGGUUUGAUCUCGCCAUGUGGGCAAUCUCUUUUUAGAAAUAUCAUUUCAACUUUGCAUAUUUGUUAUCUUUUUCUGACUAAUCCUACUUAAUUUGCAUAUUACAUUGGAUGACAUGCAUAUAUAGUUAAAUAAUACAUAGUGGAAGUCGCCCCAUCCUGGAUUCCUGGACUCCUUAAACCACUCUCGCUCUCUGCUUCAUGCUCUAAAAUGUACUCCCUUCGUUCCUAAACGUAAGUCUUUUUAAAGAUUCCAACUACGUAAGAGCAAAAUGAGUGAAUCAACACUCUAAACUACAUCUAUAUUCAUUCUUAUGUAGUCCAUAUUGAAAUCUCUAAAAAGACUUAUAUUUAGGAACGGGUGGAGUGUACCAUAUUAAGUUACUUAUAUGUGAUACGCGGACCUAGGAAGUACCCACACAUGAAAAUUACUGCAAGGGUUCUUUUCCUCUUAGGAAAAAUAAUUUGUGGGCCUGAUUGAUUAUUUUUUUACGAUAGCAUGUCAAGAGGAUAGAGAGCUCCAGCACAUUCAUACAUUAGAAAGACUGGCCAGUUUAAGUGGUAACUAGGUCAGAAACUAUGUAAAGCAUAGUAGAUUGAAAGACGACCGUGCAAAACCCCGACAAACAAGAAAAAUCACCUAGCUAAGCUAGGCCAAGAGCGUCAUCCAACACAUGGAACAGCAACAACCUGACGCCACCAGCUUGUUUGAAUAACACAUGCACUCUUGGAGUUGACAACGCCUUUGUCAUCCCAAGCUGACCUCCACUGCCAAAGUUGAUCGCCAUCUGCAGUGAGUUGUGCGUGAGUUCUUUUGCAAGAACUCCAAGGAGGAAGUCUAUGAUGACAGUGGGACUGUCAAGUGGCGUGCACGCAUUGUUGGUGUUCUUGGUCAAAGGAUAAUGAGGGCAGGUGCGAGCACGAGCAGGCUGGCCUGCGUUUUCUUGGUUAAUCACCACUAAACAGUGUCUUUUCUCUGGCGAUGCAAAAAUUAGUUUCCAGUGCCAUAAAACCGCCAAGGGGAGGAAAACCAUCAGUGCCAUAUUUGGACGUCCAUCGGUGAUGUAUGAAUCUUCUAUAUCUGAAUAACCAGCACCAACUACUAGAUUUCUCUCCACAUGUGUGCUUCCACGUCACCUCGAUAAUUGUUAGUCGUUAAAUUGUUUGACAUUAUAAAGUAAUGCAUGUACUCAUAAGUUACUUCUUUGCAUUAGUAUAUGGAUGCAAAGCAUGCCACCUAAUCAAUUCAUGCAUGAUUGUCAGUCACAAGUUAAAUUUGCAUUAAACUUUGUGUGGCCAUGGAAAGUAUAGGUUUGUAGUACUAGUGAGUGUUACCAUAAUCUUAUCUAUAUUUUUUGAUAAAGGGGAUAUUUUAUUUACUCAUAACAUCACAUCAAAAGAAUACAACAUCAUGGGUAUACACCCGCAUUUGCAUAACUAGGGUGCAAACAAUCAACUCCAAUGCACACACACAAAGAACAUCAAGAAAGCGACCUCAAGAACCAUCUACAUCAACCACCACCAAUGACUUGCACACAAACCUUGGAAAAGUGCUUCAACAAUGAUGCCUCCAUGAAGAGAAUGAUACUCGAGCGUCGUCGCCGUCCGAUCCAUCAAAAAGGGUAUUUCUUGGGUUUUCACCCAGGAGAAGAAGUCCAAGCAAACUCCAGACAAUUCUUCCAAGAAGGGAAUGACGUGGAACAUCACAAUUGACAGGUACAACCAGUGUAGGUCAGACCUAGAGCUUUCACACCGAAGCUCAAGACCAUAUGCUGAUUAGCAUCACCAAACUUAAGUUAGCAUGUACCGCCGCCCCCACUUUGAUCGUCACGCUUCAACAUCCGUACACACUCAUAGUCCUGUCGUGGACUACACAACUGGACAUACCAUGUAUACAGAAGUAGAUCAGAGCACACCAGCAGCAUCAACAAAGUCAACAACACUGCCAAGAGACACUGAAGGGGCUAACCGGUAGCCUCAAGUCGUCAUUACUGAUUGGAUAGACAUUUGUGCCGCUAAGAACACGCAUGGGUCAUCCGGCAGUCUGUCAUGUCUUCAUCGAAGUCAAUAGGCAGCAGUUCAGGACAGGAUGCUGAGCGUUCAGGGCAACUCCAACGCAUGACCCCAACAGACUUCCAUUUUAUCCGGAUUUCGUUCAUCUGGGGUGGCGAUGGGGCCGUGUCCGCGCGGAUUUGUGGAUGCAUCGGCUGUGCGCCCAACGCGCGACCGCAUCUUCGGCCUUAUCUGGUCCGCGUGCAUGCAAAUAUAUAAAAACAUCAAGAGGUGUAGCGAAAUGGCAACAACCAUAGUUCACGCUCGCGGCCGCGGUUCACAUGAAUUCAUGUCGGCCGGCAACAAAAGCCAGCGGCCGACAGAAUGUUCUCCCUCUCAGUUUCUCGUCAGAAACAAAGCCAACCUUUAAAAUUGACAUGUUUUUUACGCCAGCAAGAAAGCCAGAGGCCGACACAUGAGCCAUCCUUCAAAUGAGACAAGUUUAUGGCGCCGGCAACAAAGCCAGCGGCCGGCACAACAGCCAAACUUCAAAAUGAACGACCAUAGUCCACGGCCGAGGUCUCACCUAGUUCAGGCCAUCGCGGGCGAACAUCUCCUUCCGUCGUUUCACGAACCAAGCCUUCCUCUCUUGCGACAUAUUGUUCUUGUCGACGCUCAUGAUCACGAGUGCCACCUCUUUUGCUUUGGUGUCAGCAUUGUUGGCCUCGAUCUCGAGCUUCUUGAGUUGAGCGGCCUCCUCGAUGUCAAGCUUCCUCAUCUUUGCAGCCUCCUCCAUGUCAAGCUUCUUUGUAUGGAGCUCUAGAUAUAUCUUCAUUUGCUCCUCCUUCUCCUUGCUCCUCCUUCACUUCCUUUUGACUCAUUAUGUUUUCCAAAGUUCCUUGCAAGGCCAUGGAAGACGUAUCACGCUUCUCGUUGCACUUCGAGCUUUUCAUGCCCCUCUGCCUCUUGAGCAAGUCUCCCUCAUAAGCCGCCUUCCCUCCUAUCUUCUUAUGGGUGGCAUAUUGGUCUUUGAAUUUGGGGCAAUGUUUGAUGACCGACCAACAAUGUGUAAGAUUCAAUGGCUUGUUCUUGUGCCAGGCCUUGAAGGCUUCCAAAGGAUCCAUACCAAGUCACCAAGGCCUAAGCCACUCAUGGGACGGGCUUUGACGCUCUCAAGCGUGGCACAAUACUUGUUGCACUCUUGUUGAAUGAACCCCCGUCUCUUUUGGAUUGAGUUGAUGCCCCGGCUGCUCGCAAGUUGUAGGGGGGUGGGGGGACUUCCUUGGAUCAUGAAAGUUUUUGUGAACUCUCGUCCAAAAGACGGAUCCUUUUUGCUCAGCACCUUUCAUCGGAUCUUGGCCUACCUCCAUCCAACUCUCGCAAAUCAAAGUUUCCUCGUCUUGACUGUAUGAUCCCCCGCGAAUGCUUUGCCUCCUCUUUUGUGCCUCGACCCUUUGGGUGAGCUCAUCAAUAAACACCAAUGGCUCCACCGAAAUGUCGACCUCUUCUUCCUCAUCUUCACAAUACAAGUCAUCAUCUUCAUGCCAUGAGUUGCCAUGGUCGUCCUCAUCUUCAUCAUGGCCGGCGAAUUCAGUGUCACCAUAUUGGUCAUGGUCGUCCUGGCAUUGGGUCACAUCGGGAUCGAAAGCUUGGCCUUGGUCGUCGAAGUUGAAGGCCUCACCAUGAAGAUGACAUUCUCCAUGAACGCCGCAUAGUCAGGGUCAUCGACCGUUGGCGUCAGCAGCGGCAUUUCAUCGAACGGCUUGCGGGCGCCGGCCAUGCUAGUCAUUGGAACGACCAGGGCUGCUUGAUUUGCGCCCCGUCGGACGGCUGGCCAGGACAAAUUUACCCCAGCAUCACGUUGAGGUCGAUGACGCCUGCGGGCGUGCCAGGGCGACGACGUUGCAGUCCGCGACAUGGAGAACCGUGUCUGCCCAUGGUCAUGCAGCGGCAACGCACAAUACCCUGGCGUCUCGGGUGUGACAGGCGAGCUCGGGGACCGGUGUCGGAGAGGAUGGACGGCCGAUGAGCCUGUGCUAGCCGCAGCCAUGGCUGCGACCGAGAGAAUGUCCGGCGGGGGUUGGCACAACCCUAUUAUGAGGAGGGCAUGUGCUUUGACGACGAUGGACUCCUUGUCGUCGACGUCGGCCUGGUGCUGCGCGGCACGCAACGCUGCCGCCUCUGCGGCGUAGUCGGCUGCAGCCUUCUUCCCUGCCACCUUUGUCUGUUGGUUCCUCCUCUUGGCCGAUUUGGCGUUGAGCUUGGCGAGCUCCGCCAGCGUGAGCUCCGACUACGGCUUCUUGGUAGUCCUCUUCUUCGCCGCGGGGCGCCCAGCGGAGGCUGGGGCGCCAAUUCGUCGGGCCGCCGGCCAUGAGGGAGGGAGGUGGGCGCGGGAGCGUUUUGGGUGAAAUGGAGGGAUAUAUGGCCGGGCGUGUCCCCGACAGGGGAGCCAGGGGAGGACAAGGAAGCGCGUCCCACCCAUCUGCGCGCUGUCCGUUUCGACACAAGAGCGGCCGAACUAUGGACGGGAGUGGGUCAAAAGCGGACCAAAAACGGACAUUGUCCCGUUUGCUUCUGCGCAUUGGGCCGCUCGUUUUGUCCGUUUACCCUGAAACGGACGCGGCCAGAUUAUUUGGAGUCGUGCGUUAGAGUUGCCCUCAGUUAGUCGGAACUAACAUGUAGGUAUGGCCUGUUCCCAAACACCCAUCAUUUGCUUCCACGUGUGACGCUCACAUCACCCAACCGCUCCCACAUGCAUCAUAUCUGCCGCCAACGUGCACAAAGUCGAGCAUCCAUGUGCAACACUUCCGCCGAUCCACCAUUAUCGCACACCUUGUUUCCGUCAGUGACAUGUCUCGCGAGUCGCCUCAACUGCUGAGUAGGUGUGCAGUCUGGUUGUUUUAAUACGAUACUGAUGCAAGCGCACAUACAUAUGGGCAUACACUCACUACCUUUAUGAGCAUCUUUCAGAGAUUAAGCCAGCAUAUUAUCUUGAGAUUUAUGAAGUCAUCGUAGGCGCCUCGUCGUCCACGGAAAAGUCGAGGACUGAAAGCGCGUUGCCGGAAAUCCUGAAAUAAAUUCAGGAAUAAUGUGAGCACCAGGGCUUAAACGCUGGCGGAGGGGGAUACAACUGUCCCUCUAACCAUCCAAGCACAUAUUGGUUUGCAGCUGUGCAGUCUGGUAAGUGUUAAGUUAGUUUCUGUGUUCUUUUUUCAACAAAGGGAAUAUAUUAACAUCGCGAAGAUAAAAUACACCUAGCCUCUGCAUAAACAAGAUGUCGAAAGACAGUUAGGAUGCACACAACCAAAAAAAAUAGAGAGAAAAAGGAAACAAAGACCCCGUCGCGAUGAUGAAGCACUAGCAACAAGAAUACUCUAACCACCAGUGAAGUCAACACCUGGACCACAAAAGAGAAUCUCCAAAAACGACGCCUUCAAAAAGGAAACAAAGCACAAGCGCUGUCGUCGCCCGAUCGUUGAUCUUGAGUUUUCACUUGAAAGAAAGUUCGAGUUCCCAAAAUAAUGCCUUUAGCAAGGCUAUUGCCAGGCACAACCAAUGAAGGCCAGACCUUGGGUUUUUAUGCUGGAAAUUGUCACUCGGUACUCAAGGAGAACCACCAAAAAUGAAGUCCACCUGUGCUGCCACCCCCUCUCUCCAAGGCCACUGCUGCAAGUGACCAAAACACAACACACAUGAAAAACAUGUGCCGCCAUUCUUCAUCGCCACCAGGACACCUCUCAACCAUGACAAACCUUCGAUCGCAGGCAUCAUGACUUUCUCCACCUCUUUCACUGCCAUGGAAAACUAUAUUUAGGCAUGUCCCAUGACGUUGUCAAGAAAGCGGAGCUUCGCGCCACUUUCUCAUGAAGCCUCACUGUCCGACUAUAAGAUAACGCACGGCCGGAUCAAUUCCAAUCUUGAUAUCCGGUGAUGUCAUGCGCCAAUCGGCGGAAUCGCCGAGAGGAAGAUUGGAACUCGUCGGCAUCUCGAUCAAGGUGGCCUCCAUGAAGCGGAUUGACGACCUAGCGCUAGAAAAACAGCAGGGCCAAACAACCUUUAUAGAGGCUGUGCCCGCAGCCCCCACGCCGCCGGCCGGCAGCAGAGGAGAAGACGAAUGCCGCUGACCUGCUCUUCUUUCGGCACAGAAGGGGCACACGUUCGAACCCAAUGCGGAAAGCUUCACUGGUUGGGUCCAAAUGGGAGCCAAACAGGACAUGCCCCGCCACCUCCAAGUGCAGGUGCGCUUUCGGGAGCAAGGCCCGAAACGUCAAAUCCCUUCGUCAGAUUCACUCCUCCGUCAGCCCAGAUCAGGCGCAGAAGGGCUCGCAUCUGCCCCAUGCACGCCAUGGCAACAGAUCGUGCCGCCAAAACUGGCCACGCCCGAUCCGUCGUCGCUAGCGUCGCUGCCCUCAUCUCCUACCUCCAUUGGACACCUCCGCGCGCGACCGUCACCGUGCCUCUCCGCACAGGUACACCGCAACUGCGCGCCUCCUUGUGUCCUCUCCCUUUGGCAAGACGGGCGCAGCCACCCUCGUCGACGCCGGCGCCGGCCAGGGCAAUUGGCCUGAGGUGGAGACUAGGUUAGGGUUUCGGGGGCCUUCGGAGUCGCUGUGCGGAAGCGACCCGGGAGGCGCCAGUUUCUGAGUUGUAGCGGUUUAGCAAGGAGACGACACACAUGGAUCAUUGGAGAGUUUUUCCCUUCGACAAGUAUUCUUGGAGGCGCCAGUUUUUGAGUUGUAGCGGUUUGCCGUUUACGGUUCGGACAAAGUUGUUUGUUAUUUUGUAUAUGAUCAAUAAACCCAACAGUGCGGCAGCAAAACUGCUGCCAAUCUAUGGGACAGCCAUAACCGCGUCUGCAAUAGUAAUAGUUAACUGAACCAACCAAAUUUGAGAUAUACUCGAAAAACUAGAAAAACAUACAAACGUAGAAACCACUACCCUAUUAUGCUUCAACGACCACUAGGAAAACUUACAAACGUAGAAACCAUGUUUUAAUACAAAUCAACUAUAUCCAGAAGCAUGAACCAGUACCCACACCUUCGCUACGUCAUGCAGAGAUAAAAUCCAUCUGUAUUGUCAUCCACACUUAUCUCUAGCACCUCUCUGUAUGUAUCAAUCAUUAUAAUCCCUCGCUCUCUUCAAGCAAACAGAACGGGGUGCUCGGUUUGGGAAAAGGUCCAGGAGUGCGUGAUAAUAUUGGGAAUUAAAAUCUUCUCAUCUCUCUUUUUUUUUGCAUUGAUCCCAAGCACCUUAGAGCAUCUCCAGCCGUUGGCCCCCCAGGCGACGAUUUUACGUGCCCCCUGGGGGAGAGCCGGCACUAAAAUCGGCGCUGGGAACCCGCUCGCCCCAGGGUCGCCCCAGACGCGUUUUUUAUUUGAAUUCGGCAAAGUUCGGCUAAAAUUCGGCAAACUUGAUAUUCAUAUUGAACAUGUUCAGCGUUUUACAUAAAUUAUUUAAAAAAAGCAAACUACGAGGCAAAGAAGUCGAUCAGCGCGGCGAAGUCACCGACGUCGCCGCCGUCCUCGUCGUCGGCAGCGGCCUUCUCCUUCUUGAUGGCGCGGCCGCCGCUGCUGGACCCCUGCCCGCCGUCUCCAUGGCAGACAGGCGAUGGCGGCGCGUCAUCGUCGUCGUCGCUGUCAUCGAGGACGACGAUACCUCCCUCGUCCCAGCCACGGCGGCGAGCUUCGAACCGCGCGAAGGCGGCGCGCUGGCGCUCCCUCUCCGUCUGCACCCAGUCGUCGCGCGCCCAUUUGAGGGCCGCUUCAUCGUCGAGCGCCUCCUCCUUGACGGGCUCCGUCUUCACGACGGGGAGCCCCGGCUCCGGCUUGACGGCGGCGAGGCCCGAAUCCGUCUUGGGCUUGACGAAACGCGGAGGAGCCGAGGAGGUGGCACGCCGGCCGCCCUCGUUGAUGACGAUGUCGGCGCUGCGGGUGCGCCGGCCGAGCGGCGUCUCCGCGGCGGGCUCUGCCUUGACGCCGAAGAGCGCCGGCGAGCCGGAAGAGUGGGAGGAGGAGCGGGAGGAGGAGGAAGAGUGGGAGGAGGAGGAGGCGGCGAACCUCCUGGGCACCCACGGCCCGGCACUCCGGCAAGGGGCCGGCAUGGCCACCGCGGCUGGGUACGCCAGCGGCGGGUUGUUGCCGCCCUCGAGGUGUGCGAUCACCUCGUGCAGGGUGCGGCCGGGGACCCCCCCACCAGACGCGGCGGCCGUCGCUGUUCUUUGUGCCGCCGACCCCCGGCGCCCCGUUCGUGGACGCCCGCCUCUGCGCCUGCCGCCGCUGGAAAUAUUCCGUCCAAGCCGCGUGGUUGUCGGCGGCGUACUGGGGGAGGGCGCGUUGCUCCUCCGACAGGGACGACCGCACGAGGUCGACCUCGGCGGCGAAGACACCGGGGCGCGCGUCGACGUCGUGAACGGGGGGAUGGGGACGCCGCCGUUGCUGACCUUCCACCCCGUCGGCCCGGCGCGCAUGUCCGGCGGCGCCCGGAUGUUCGCCUCGAAGAGAAACCAGGACUCGCACUCCUGGAGCGUGCGGCGGCCGAAGCCGUUGGCCGCCGCGGCGUCGCCGGGGAAGCUUUCGGCCAUGGAGAGAGAAGGGGAAGGAGAGGGAAGGGGAGAGCGGCAGAGCUCAACGGCGGAAGGGAGGGAUGGCGGCUGGUUUGGGCUCGGCGGAUUCGGGCUGGUGUGGCCAACGGCGAGGGAAGCCUCUGUUUUAUAUAGCCCCAGGCCGUGUGAACGCGUGGCAGAAGGGGAGGCGUCGCCGCGCCUGCCCGCCCGUGACGCGCCGCCCGUGAGGAAUCAAUGGCAAGGCUGACCGGCAGAAAACCGAGGCGUUCUGGGAAAGACGAGGCGCGUGCCGCUGACUCGGCGGGCCCACCGAGCUUUCGCGCCAAAACCCCUCGUCCCGGCGCCCCCCAGCGCGCCGGGUUCGGCCUGGGGCUGUCGGCGCCGAUUUCGACCCAAGUCGGCGGAAAACGGGUUCCUGGGCGCGACUGGACCGAAUUUUGGGCACGGGCGCGGCAAAAACGCCUGGGAGGGCCUGUUGGGGCCGCGGCUGGAGAUGCUCUAACCCAUUGCCUCAUCUAGUUUUGUCUAGAGGAGAGAGACCGUGUCCAGGGUGGAUUACGGUCAUCUUCUGGACACUUGAGUCUGUUUCACUAAACAUCUGACUUAUUAUAUAUCGCAUUUGUGGAAUGGCAGGCACUUAGGAGAUGGAGGCAUAGAUGGAAGAAAACGGGGAAGGAAACACAGUUGGCUUACCAACAAGUAGCAAAAUGCCUCGAAAUUGGGUUACUAUGCCAGGAAAUUGACCCAUUCAAACGACCUUAUAUAUGGCAAAUGAUACAUGAUAUAAGAGAAAUUGAUGGUCCUAAUGAAAAAAC
rnacentral:lncRNA from 1 species